rnacentral:other from 1 species
GUUGGUAUGUGGCACUGUUGCACCAGAAAUUCUGGUUCAAACAGCCCGCUCCCGCAUACGGUGCAUAUUUAAUUUUAGUAAUUUCAAGGAAUAUUCUAUGUCUACAGUGACAGGUCAGGUUAAAUUCUUCAACGAAUCCAAAGGCUUCGGCUUCAUCCAGCAAGACGGCGGCGCCGAUGUAUUCGUACAUUACAGCGCAAUCAAAUCUGCAGGAUUCAAAACUCUGGCAGAAGGCCAGCGCGUUGAAUUUACCGUGACUAAAGGCGCUAAAGGCCUUCAGGCGGAAAACGUUAUUGGUCUGUAAGACUGCAACGUUUGAAAUCGCCGCGCUGCUAAGCUAACGCGAAUUCAAAAAAAAAGGGCUGUCACCUGGGUGACAGCCCUUUUU